AGAGUUUGAUCAUGGCUCAGAUUGAACGCUGGCGGCAGGCCUAACACAUGCAAGUCGAGCGGUAGCACAGAGAGCUUGCUCUCGGGUGACGAGCGGCGGACGGGUGAGUAAUGUCUGGGAAACUGCCUGAUGGAGGGGGAUAACUACUGGAAACGGUAGCUAAUACCGCAUAACGUCGCAAGACCAAAGUGGGGGACCUUCGGGCCUCAUGCCAUCCAGAUGUGCCCAGAUGGGAUUAGCUAGUAGGUGGGGUAACGGCUCACCUAGGCGACGAUCCCCUAGCUGGUCUGAGAGGAUGACCAGCCACACUGGAACUGAGACACGGUCCAGACUCCUACGGGAGGCAGCAGUGGGGAAUAUUGCACAAUGGGCGCAAGCCUGAUGCAGCCAUGCCGCGUGUGUGAAGAAGGCCUUCGGGUUGUAAAGCACUUUCAGCGGGGAGGAAGGCGAUAAGGUUAAUAACCUUGUCGAUUGACGUUACCCGCAGAAGAAGCACCGGCUAACUCCGUGCCAGCAGCCGCGGUAAUACGGAGGGUGCAAGCGUUAAUCGGAAUUACUGGGCGUAAAGCGCACGCAGGCGGUCUGUCAAGUCGGAUGUGAAAUCCCCGGGCUCAACCUGGGAACUGCAUUCGAAACUGGCAGGCUAGAGUCUUGUAGAGGGGGGUAGAAUUCCAGGUGUAGCGGUGAAAUGCGUAGAGAUCUGGAGGAAUACCGGUGGCGAAGGCGGCCCCCUGGACAAAGACUGACGCUCAGGUGCGAAAGCGUGGGGAGCAAACAGGAUUAGAUACCCUGGUAGUCCACGCCGUAAACGAUGUCGAUUUGGAGGUUGUGCCCUUGAGGCGUGGCUUCCGGAGCUAACGCGUUAAAUCGACCGCCUGGGGAGUACGGCCGCAAGGUUAAAACUCAAAUGAAUUGACGGGGGCCCGCACAAGCGGUGGAGCAUGUGGUUUAAUUCGAUGCAACGCGAAGAACCUUACCUGGUCUUGACAUCCACAGAACUUAGCAGAGAUGCUUUGGUGCCUUCGGGAACUGUGAGACAGGUGCUGCAUGGCUGUCGUCAGCUCGUGUUGUGAAAUGUUGGGUUAAGUCCCGCAACGAGCGCAACCCUUAUCCUUUGUUGCCAGCGGUUAGGCCGGGAACUCAAAGGAGACUGCCAGUGAUAAACUGGAGGAAGGUGGGGAUGACGUCAAGUCAUCAUGGCCCUUACGACCAGGGCUACACACGUGCUACAAUGGCAUAUACAAAGAGAAGCGACCUCGCGAGAGCAAGCGGACCUCAUAAAGUAUGUCGUAGUCCGGAUUGGAGUCUGCAACUCGACUCCAUGAAGUCGGAAUCGCUAGUAAUCGUAGAUCAGAAUGCUACGGUGAAUACGUUCCCGGGCCUUGUACACACCGCCCGUCACACCAUGGGAGUGGGUUGCAAAAGAAGUAGGUAGCUUAACCUUCGGGGAGGGCGCUUACCACUUUGUGAUUCAUGACUGGGGUGAAGUCGUAACAAGGUAACCGUAGGGGAACCUGCGGUUGGAUCACCU
rnacentral:rRNA from 1 species